CGGGUGAGUAACACGUAUCCAACCUGCCGUCUACUCUUGGCCAGCCUUCUGAAAGGAAGAUUAAUCCAGGAUGGCAUCAUGAGUCCGCAUGUUCACAUGAUUAAAGAUAUUCCGGUAGACGAUGGGGAUGCGUUCCAUUAGAUAGUAGGCGGGGUAACGGCCCACCUAGUCUUCGAUGGAUAGGGGUUCUGAGAGGAAGGUCCCCCACAUUGGAACUGAGACACGGUCCAA
rnacentral:rRNA from 1 species